GGGCCCGCACAAGCGGUGGAGUAUGUGGUUUAAUUCGAUGCAACGCGAGAAGACCUUACCAGGGGUUUGACAUCCUGCGAAUCUCUUGGAAACGAGAGAGUGCCUUCGGAGCGCAGUGACAGGUGGUGCAUGGCUGUCGUCAGCUCGUGUCGUGAGAUGUUGGUUAAGUCCCGCAACGAGCGCAACCCACGUCUUUAGUUGCCAGCAUUUAGUUGGGCACUCUAGAGAGACCGCCGGUGAUAAACCGGAGGAAGGUGUGGAUGACGUCAAGUCAUCAUGCCCCUUACAUCCUGGGCUACACACGUACUACAAUGCUACGGACAAAGAGCAGCAAGUUCGCGAGGACAAGCA
rnacentral:rRNA from 1 species